rfam:Flavobacterium branchiophilum FL-15, complete genome.
UAUUGUCCUGAAAGUGCGUUAGGGAUAGCAGCGGUAUCCUUUUUUAAAACAAAAAAACAAGGCUUUUUCUGCCUUGUUUUUUUGUUUUAAAAAAGAUAUAGCGAAUAGCCCGGCCCCUU